UGUGCUACAUUUCUUCCUAUGGCUGAAUGGAAUUUCCUGUAUGGAUUGUACCACAUACCAUUGAUCUACUCAGUAGAUGAUGGACACUGAGCUGUCUCUAGUUUCUGCCAAUUAUGGACAUUUCCAUACAAGUUUCUGGUGGCCCUCACUGUUUUGAUUACUAUCACUUUACAGCCAAUCUCCCUCCAGAUCCAAGUAACAGUAAAUACAUUUCGGGUGUAAUCAACUCAAGAGUUAUUUAACAGAGCAAAUGCAUCAAGUAAGUUUUUCCGAGCACCAAUAAAAAUGAUAAUUUCCUGUGAAACAA